GAGCGGCGGACGGGUGAGUAACGCGUAGGAAUCUACCUGGUAGUGGGGGACAACUCGGGGAAACUCGAGCUAAUACCGCAUACGCCCUGAGGGGGAAAGCGGGGGAUCUUCGGACCUCGCGCUAUUGGAUGAGCCUGCGUUGGAUUAGCUGGUUGGUGGGGUAAAGGCCUACCAAGGCGACGAUCCAUAGCUGGUCUGAGAGGAUGAUCAGCCACACCGGGACUGAGACACGGCCCGGACUCCUACGGGAGGCAGCAGUGGGGAAUAUUGCGCAAUGGGCGAAAGCCUGACGCAGCCAUGCCGCGUGUGUGAAGAAGGCCUUCGGGUUGUAAAGCACUUUCACUUGGGAAGAAACGCUGUCGGUUAAUACCCGCCAGUUUUGACAUUACCUUGAGAAGAAGCACCGGCUAACUCCGUGCCAGCAGCCGCGGUAAUACGGAGGGUGCGAGCGUUAAUCGGAAUUACUGGGCGUAAAGCGCGCGUAGGCGGUUUGUUAAGUCGGAUGUGAAAGCCCCGGGCUCAACCUGGGAAUUGCACCCGAUACUGGCCGACUGGAGUGCGAGGGAGGGAAGCUAGAAUUCCACGUGUAACGGUGAAAUGCGUAGAUAUGUGGAGGAAUACCGGUGGCGAAGGCGGCCUCCUGGCUCGACACCGACGCUGAGGUGCGAAAGCGUGGGGAGCAAACAGGAUUAGAUACCCUGGUAGUCCACGCCGUAAACGAUGUCGACUAGCCGUUGGGGAACUUGAGUCCUUGGUGGCACAGUUAACGCGAUAAGUCGACCGCCUGGGGAGUACGGCCGCAAGGUUAAAACUCAAAUGAAUUGACGGGGGCCCGCACAAGCGCUGGAGCAUGUGGUUUAAUUCGAUGCAACGCGAAGAACCUUACCAGGCCUUGACAUCCUUGGAAUCCUGCAGAGAUGCGGGAGUGCCUUCGGGAAUCAAGUGACAGGUGCUGCAUGGCUGUCGUCAGCUCGUGUCGUGAGAUCUUGGGUUAAGUCCCGUAACGAGCGCAACCCCUGUCCUUAGUUGCCAGCGCGUAAUGGUGGGAACUCUAAGGAGACUGACGGUGACAAACCGCUCGCAAGGUGGGGACGACGUCAAGUCAUCAUGGCCCUUACGGCCUGGGCUACACACGUGCUACAAUGGAACGCACAGAGGGCAGCGACCCCGCGAGGGUGAGCGAAUCCCACAAAACGUUUCGUAGUCCGGAUUGGAGUCUGCAACUCGACUCCAUGAAGUCGGAAUCGCUAGUAAUCGCGAAUCAGCCUCUCGCGGUGAUACGUUCCCGGGCAUUGUACACACCGCCCGUCACACCAUGGGAGUGGGUUGCUCCAGAAGUGGUUA
rnacentral:rRNA from 1 species